UACGUAGCGGGCAAGCGUUGUCCGGAUUUAUUGGGCGUAAAGAGCUCGUAGGUGGUUCGGUAAGUCGGAUGUGAAAUCUCCAGGCUCAACCUGGAGGGGUCAUUCGAUACUGCCGUGACUAGAGGUCGGUAGGGGAGUGUGGAAUUCCUGGUGGAGCGGUGAAAUGCGCAGAUAUCAGGAGGAACACCCGUAGCGAAGGCGGCACUCUGGGCCGAUACUGACACUGAGGAGCGAAAGCGUGGGGAGCGAACAGG
rnacentral:rRNA from 1 species